GGAUGAACGCUGGCGGCGUGCCUAACACAUGCAAGUCGAACGAAGCGCCUCGCCCGACGAAGUGGAGUGCUUGCACAAAGCAGAAUCAAUUGAGGCGACUUAGUGGCGGACGGGUGAGUAACGCGUGGGUAACCUGCCGUAUGCAGGGGGAUAACAGUUAGAAAUGACUGCUAAUACCGCAUAAGCGCACAGUAUCGCAUGAUACAGUGUGAAAAAGCCUUAACGGCAUACGAUGGACCCGCGUCUGAUUAGCCAGUUGGCAGGGUAACGGUCUACCAAAGCGACGAUCAGUAGCCGGCCUGAGAGGGUGAACGGCCACAUUGGGACUGAGACACGGCCCAAACUCCUACGGGAGGCAGCAGUGGGGGAUAUUGCACAAUGGGGGAAACCCUGAUGCAAGCGACGCCGCGUGAGUGAAGAAGUAUUUCGGUAUGUAAAGCUCUAUCGGCAGGGAAGAAAAUGACGGUACCUGACUAAGAAGCUCCGGCUAAAUACGUGCCAGCAGCGGC
rnacentral:rRNA from 1 species